CAUAUUGAAUAUACCACCCUGAACAAGCCCGAUCCUGUCUGAUCUCGGAACCUAAGCAGGGUUGGGCCUGGUUAGUACUUGAAUGGGAGACCUCCUAGGAAGAUCGGGUGCUGUAGGC
rnacentral:rRNA from 1 species